GACGAACGCUGGCGGCGUGCUUAACACAUGCAAGUCGAACGGAAAGGCCCUGCUUUUGUGGGGUGCUCGAGUGGCGAACGGGUGAGUAACACGUGAGUAACCUGCCCUUGACUUUGGGAUAACUUCAGGAAACUGGGGCUAAUACCGGAUAGGAGCUCCUGCUGCAUGGUGGGGGUUGGAAAGUUUCGGCGGUUGGGGAUGGACUCGCGGCUUAUCAGCUUGUUGGUGGGGUAGUGGCUUACCAAGGCUUUGACGGGUAGCCGGCCUGAGAGGGUGACCGGCCACAUUGGGACUGAGAUACGGCCCAGACUCCUACGGGAGGCAGCAGUGGGGAAUAUUGCACAAUGGGCGGAAGCCUGAUGCAGCAACGCCGCGUGCGGGAUGACGGCCUUCGGGUUGUAAACCGCUUUCGCCUGUGACGAAGCGUGAGUGACGGUAAUGGGUAAAGAAGCACCGGCUAACUACGUGCCAGCAGCCGCGGUGAUACGUAGGGUGCGAGCGUUGUCCGGAUUUAUUGGGCGUAAAGGGCUCGUAGGUGGUUGAUCGCGUCGGAAGUGUAAUCUUGGGGCUUAACCCUGAGCGUGCUUUCGAUACGGGUUGACUUGAGGAAGGUAGGGGAGAAUGGAAUUCCUGGUGGAGCGGUGGAAUGCGCAGAUAUCAGGAGGAACACCAGUGGCGAAGGCGGUUCUCUGGGCCUUUCCUGACGCUGAGGAGCGAAAGCGUGGGGAGCGAACAGGCUUAGAUACCCUGGUAGUCCACGCUGUAAACGGUGGGUACUAGGUGUGGGGUCCAUUCCACGGGUUCCGUGCCGUAGCUAACGCUUUAAGUACCCCGCCUGGGGAGUACGGCCGCAAGGCUAAAACUUAAAGGAAUUGACGGGGCCCCGCACAAGCGGCGGAGCAUGCGGAUUAAUUCGAUGCAACGCGUAGAACCUUACCUGGGUUUGACAUGGAUCGGGAGCGCUCAGAGAUGGGUGUGCCUCUUUUGGGGUCGGUUCACAGGUGGUGCAUGGCUGUCGUCAGCUCGUGUCGUGAGAUGUUGGGUUAAGUCCCGCAACGAGCGCAACCCUUGUUCACUGUUGCCAGCACGUUAUGGUGGGGACUCAGUGGAGACCGCCGGGGUCAACUCGGAGGAAGGUGGGGAUGACGUCAAGUCAUCAUGCCCCUUAUGUCCAGGGCUUCACGCAUGCUACAAUGGCUGGUACAGAGAGUGGCGAGCCUGUGAGGGUGAGCGAAUCUCGGAAAGCCGGUCUCAGUUCGGAUUGGGGUCUGCAACUCGACCUCAUGAAGUCGGAGUCGCUAGUAAUCGCAGAUCAGCAACGCUGCGGUGAAUACGUUCCCGGGGCU
rnacentral:rRNA from 1 species